CCUUCCCGUGAGGCGAGGGAGCUUCCAAGAUCAUUUUUCCCUUUCUUUUCCUCAUUCUAUAGCUCCCAAAUUUCUAGGUUUUCCUUUUUGCUAUCCGCCAUCCUCUCUGAUCCUCCUGCACAGCUGCCACCAUCGCCUCCUCCCAGAUUACCUCGCAGCCGCCUCCUGCUCGCCUAGCGACGCCGGGAUGCAGCGCCUCCCUCCCCCGUCCUGCUCACGAGGCACCAGGGGCCAUGCGCCCAGGACUUCGCCCCACCCCCUACGUCAGCACCCCCUUGCACUAUGCGCCCCCUCCCCAGCCUCGCCCUAGGGCCCCCGCGAAGCUCUGCGCCGCCGCCAAUUCUGCUCGCCGAGCAGAACGCCGCCGCCCCUUCCCGGCCAAGAUCCGGCCGAUCCCGAGCAGCCCCGACGCCGGGUCCGAUGCUUGUGUGACGUUAGAAAGAGCGCGAUCGAAGAAUUUUGAAAAUUAAGAGUUUCGGGAACAAAGUUGAAGACACCGAGCAGCUGUUCUUUGGAAGAAAUGCAAGUGUUUACUUGAUUAUUUUUUCUAAUAAUUAUAAUAGAUACAACUCUCUUUAUGCAUGCACGUGUAUUAACCUGAUGGAUCCUAAUUAAGGAUAUGUCUAGCCUUUAUGAUCAUUUCUUGUCAACCUGAGUUUUAUCCUUUUGUUGGGUAGCUUCUACUCAGUUGCUAUAGCUGGUUCCGGUUUGGGAAUAAAUUAUAACUAUGAUGACAACAAUGAUGAUGCUACACAUAUUUUAUCCA